rnacentral:lncRNA from 1 species
UCCGUCGCCGUUGCGGUCGCUGCCGCCGCCUGCCACUCCAAGAGCUCCUGGAGCCGCUCGAAUUGGGUCUCUUGGCGCUGCACCACAUUGGUCAGCGCGGUCACCUGCGCUUGCAACCGAUCCAUCACGCUCGGUUCUACCUGCUCGGGCACCUCAGGAGACGGUGCCGGAGUAGAUCUGCGCGUGUAAGAUCUUGGAGACAUUAGUCCCUGAAACGCAAAUACUUGGUCAGUCGUCUUAACCAAUUACCUCGUUGAAUUACGACACAUGACGACUCAACAACAGAAUCGGGUGGAAGCACACAAGUGUACUUGUUCUAGACUCUCGGCAUCAUGUCGUUGGCCGCCAACACAACCACCUCAAGACAAGAACUCAUACCACUUAGAUCCGUCUCUAAUCACAACUAGAGACCUAAUACCACUUCGACCCAAUCGAAUCAACUUCCGCCAUCGUUAUAGGUUCACGUUCCGCUCACGCACCUAUAACCUUAGGGCUUACCAACCUAGGGUCUCCUAGGUCAUCCUAGACUUUCUCUCUUUACUUGCUCUUAUGCUCUGAUACCACAUAUACUGUCACACCCCGCCCCGAAACCACUACCAAUUUAGCACGAUUCGGCCGCGACGGCGGACCGCCGAACGGACAGCACCUCCCCUGUCCGCCCAAGGCUCCGCAACAAGAAUGUGUACAAGAAUGUACCCAGGAAAUUAGAUUCUAAACAUACACAUUCACAAGGGCACAAACGGUGCCAGCAAUAUGAAGAGCAAGUAAUCCACAAGAUAUAGCAUGUGAAAUAAAGAGAGUACUUUACUAACUAUUACAAUAGUUUCAUCAUUUUCAUCUACAUCACUUCUUUAAAUGAUUACAUUUUUUUCAUCUCAAAAUACAUAACUCUCCAACACCUCACCUACAAUGCAUCUCUCAAAUACAUAGGUGUACUAAUGCAAAAAGGAAAGCUACUAUACUACCACGGCCUCACUGAUCGGGCGCGAUGCCCUUGCCGCGGUCCUCUCUCGGCAACCCUGUACCUACCACUGGAAAUAGAGUGGGGUGAGAACUAUCUUCCAUAGUUCCCAGUGGGCUCGGCCGCCGACUCUGCCGAUCUCCCCACUAGGUCCAAGUGGGCACAAGUAACAACAGAUAGAUAGAUAGAUAUGUAUCUGAAAACUGUAAAUGCGAUAGUAAGAAAACUAUGCUACUAUGCCCAUAAUCAUGAAUAUGAAUACAUGCAUCAUAUAAUAAAGGUUUGCUACCAUGCUAACAAAUUCGAUCCAUAUUCGAAUAGUAAUGUUCAAUGACAUUUUUAAACCUUUAACUUUUCAUUUACCCAAUCUGUGGCGAGGCCCUAGGGCUCGCCCAUAACUCACCUUUCAAUCCCAAAGUGGGGAGGGAGCUUCAAGUGCACCCAAGCUCGGGACCGUCUGCGGACCUCCAUGUGGUCCGGACCUCCAAGUGGUCCUAGUCGGGCGACACUCCGGAGUACUCGACAACAAUCCCCUCCAUGUGGGGAUUGGAUGGCUAUACCACCCUUGACGCAGACUGUGAGCUAGAUCUAUCCUCUCCAAGUGAGGAUACACUGUAACUAGGGUCAACACCCAAUCAAAUCCUCUCCAAGUGAGGAUGCUCUACAACUAGAGUCAUUAACCCAAUCGAAUCCUCUCUAAGUGAGGAUGCCCUACACUAGGGUCAACAUCUCUCGCGGAAUCAUUCGUUCCCGACAAUUCAUGCAAUGCUAUUUAGCUUUCUAAAUUCAUUGUUCACAACGCAUUUUCUAAGGGAUCCACCUAUCCCUAGGUUCAUCGACCUCUAGUGUCAUUUACACUACAUUAAUGCCACUCGUCAUCGUUUAACAUUUGGAUGCCACUCGUGUGUUCUUUAACACUAAACACUACUUUCUAUGUCAUCACUACCCCCAUCGGGUUCAUCUCUUUUCUUUUGCAUCAUAGG